CAAAAUUCUUCAAAUUAAAUGAUCUCAAGGUGAUGAUUCAUUUGAGAGCUUGAAGAGGAUCCAAAUCUCAACACCAACUUUCUUUUUCCUCUUUUCUCAAGGGCGUGUUCGCGGAGUUUGAUUCCCAUGGUCAAGCUUUUGUAGAGUUUUACUUGGAAGCUUUGAGGACCAAGAUCCUAUUCGAGUUAGUGUACACAAAGG